CGGAGGCAGAUCGAUACCUGUGGACCAAGUCUCUCUCCAACCUACCUAAAUUGUCCUACGACGACGUCCUAAGGAUCGUAAAUCAGCACUCACGUGUCGAAACAUCUAAACUACGCAAAGGAUAUAAGUUCUUCUGGGAGAAGUACAUUUUUAAUUAUAGAAACACAUGACUACCACUUCACAGGGGAGCAAAGCGUGCCAACACCUCUGUCGUGCACCAGUGUUCUGCAGUCGUGGACCAAGGACACAGGUUUAUGUGUAUACCUCAGGCCUAGCCAAACAUCUUGUAUAGUCUACUCAAUAAUAGUAUUCGAAGUUCUUGUAUAUAGACAGACGCGACCAACACUGACUUAAGUGUUGCUACACUGACAAUAUGAUUUAUGUGCUGACAUAUUUUUUCUUUUUGCUCCAGGGGAUUCGCUCCAGGGGAUUCGCCCGGAACCCACUGACCAAUUUGUGGUCAGGAAACCCAAGGUUUGGGUUAGGUGUUUUAUUUUAACACAUACAUGGACACAUACCUCCUGAAUGCCAAGUAAAUAUGGCCGAGGGACACACACACCCCAUUUCAUUUAUUUAUUUCUGUUAAAUGUAUAUAUGUAAAUAUUUUAAUCAAACAAUUGGAAACAAACAUUCCUGAACAUUUGUUUAAGGUAACACACUCUGAGCACCUUU
ensembl:lncRNA